AUAAAUGCAGUGACUGGGAAGAAGUAAAUGCGGGAAAUGCUUACAGAGAGCAGCUGGACGAUGAGAAGCGCAAGCAGAUACCGCAAUUGAAUACAUCCCAAGAGCAUCUCACCGAAAGUAAGGCGAGUAGGCUGAGUACGGAUUGCGCCCGUUAUAGCGCCAGGGUAUCGUGCUGAAAACACCGUACCUGAUGAGGUUCAUGCUGCGAGGUAUGGACGAAAAAGGUGGUAACGCGAUUGGACUCGCCCUUUGA
rnacentral:ncRNA from 1 species